UGAUGACGAGACGCUAAGGCGUUGAAGCAGUGUAUGUCAGACUUCCAAGAAAAGCUCGCAAUGUCACAAAUAAAAGAUGCCUGUACCAUAACCGACACAGGUGGGUAGGUAGAGUAUACUAAGGGGCGCGAGAUAACUCUCUCUAAGGAACUCGGCAAAAUGUCUCCGUAACUUCGGGAGAAGGAGUGCCUUAUUUAUAAGGUUGCAAUAACAAGAUCCAAGCAACUGUUUAUCAAAAACACAGGUCUCCGCUAAGUCGUAAGACGAUGUAUGGGGGCUGACGCCUGCCCAGUGCCAGAAGGUUAAAGAAGUUGGUUAGUGUAUGCGAAGCUGAUGACUGAAGCCCUGGUGAACGGCGGCCGUAACGAUAACGGUCCUAAGGUAGCGAAAUUCCUUGUCGGGUAAGUUCCGACCCGCACGAAAGGCGUAAUGAUUUGGAUACUGUCUCGGAGAGAGGCUCGGUGAAAUAGACUUGUCUGUGAAGAUGCGGACUACCUGCACCAGGACAGAAAGACCCUAUGAAGCUUUACUGUAACUUGAAAUUGGAAUUGGACUUUGCUUGCGCAGUAUAGGUGGGAAGCGUUGAAAAUAUUCUUGCGGGAGUAUUGGAGCUAUCAGUGAGAUACCACUCUUGUAAUGUUAGAUUUCUAACUUUGAACCAUAAUCUGGUCAAAGAACAGUUUCAGGUGGGCAGUUUGACUGGGGCGGUCGCCUCCCAAAUGGUAACGGAGGCGUACAAAGGUUUCCUCUGAACGGAUAGAAAUCGUAUCUAGAGUGUAAAGGCAUAAGGAAGCUUGACUGUGAGACCUACAAGUCGAGCAGGGACGAAAGUCGGUCUUAGUGAUCUGACGGUACUGAGUGGAAAGGCCGUCACUCAACGGAUAAAAGUUACUCUAGGAUAACAGGCUGAUCUCCCCCAAGAGUUCACAUCGACGGGGAGGUUUGGCACCUCGAUGUCGGCUCAUCGCAUCCUGGGGCGGUAGUACGUCCCAAGGGUUGGGCUGUUCGCCCAUGAAAGCGGUACGCGAGCUGGGUUCAGAACGUCGUGAGACAGUUCGGUCCAUAUCCGGUGUAGGCGCUAGAAUAUUGAGAGGAGCCUUCUUUAGUACGAGAGGACCGAGAAGGACACACCGCUGGUGUACCAGUUAUCGUGCCAACGGUAAACGCUUGGUAGCUAUGUGUGGAGUGGAUAACCGCUGAAAGCAUCUAAGUGGGAAGCCCACCUCGAGAUGAGUAUUCAC
rnacentral:rRNA from 1 species